CUGGAAUUGAAAUUGAGUUGACCACAACCCUGUUCCACAUAGACUAAAGCAUUUUACUUUACAGGUCAGAAGUAAGGCAGACGAAGGAUUGCUUUUACAUGUUAUAUUCUAUAGCAGCCAUUAGGAAAUACAGCACCUUCAUAUAUAAAGUAACUCAGACCAAAAGCAAAUUUGUCCCAUCCGGCGCAGAACUCGGACUCUUUUUGCUUUCAUGUGGAUUGGUUGUCAUUGGUUGUCCAGUGAGCAGAAUGCCUGAGGGCAGGUGAAACAGACUUUGUAGUCCUGACAGAGUCUACCAUCUUGCUCUGCAUUCACACAGGCAAAUCCAUGAGUGGCAUCAUACUUGGAAAACACACACAGGCAAAUCAUCUAGUAGCUAUGGGCAUUUGUUAACUCCUGAUGUUCUAUACAUACAGCUUUGGAAAUGUGAAUGUAAGCUAAUUUAAUAUGUAAAAUGUAGGUUGGAAUUGUGAAGGAUAUUGACCCUUUAAUAUCGUCAAUACCUAGUUUGUUAUUGUUUGUUAUUGGAUAUCAUUGGAUGUCAGUGACACAUCAUAGAAAUCACUAAGUCAUCGGUGAGCAGGUACAGUAUGAACAGCUUGGAGGGUUAGGGUUUAACCAGAAUGUGGACAUGAAGCUAGGGUUAGGGUUUAACCAGAAUGUGGACAUGAAGCUAGGGUUAGGGUUUAACCAGAAUGUGGACAUGAAGCUAGGGUUAGGGUUUAACCAGAAUGUGGACAUGAAGCUAGGGUUAGGGUUGAGGCUAGGGUUAGGGUUAGGGUUUAACCAGAAUGUGGACAGGAAGCUAGGGUUAGGGUUGAGCCAGGAUGUGGACAUGAAGCUAGGGUUAGGGUUGAGCCAGGAUGUGGACAUGAAGCUAGGGUUUAACCAGGAUGUGGACAUGAAGCUAGGGUUAGGCCAGGAUGUGGACAUGAAGCUAGGGUUAGGGUUGAGCCAGGAUGUGGACAUGAAGCUAGGGUUAGGGUUGAGCCAGGAUGUGGACAUGAAGCUAGGGUUAGGGUUGAGCCAGGAUGUGGACAUGAAGCUAGGGUUUAACCAGGAUGUGGACAUGAAGCUUGUGUUUAACCAGGAUGUGGACAUGAAGCUAGGGUUAGGGUUGAGGUUAGAGGAGCUGCUCAUGAGAGGAAGGUGUCUCUGAGCAGAUAUCCCAUAGUUGGUCUGGGCCUCGAUGCUGAUGGGGCUUCUACACACUUGACCAGGAAACAUCUGCAGCAGCUGGGGUAUGGACUCCAGGUCGUCCUCAUCUGAUGGGUUAUCACUGCUCAGCCACCGUGUCCCACACCCCUAAAAG
ensembl:lncRNA